GAUGAACGCUGGCGGCGUGCUUAAUACAUGCAAGUCGAGCGAACGGACGAGAAGCUUGCUUCUCUGAUGUUAGCGGCGGACGGGUGAGUAACACGUGGAUAACCUACCUAUAAGACUGGGAUAACUUCGGGAAACCGUAGCUAAUACCGGAUAAUAUUUUGAACCGCAUGGUUCAAAAGUGAAAGACGGUCUUGCUGUCACUUAUAGAUGGAUCCGCGCUGCAUUAGCUAGUUGGUAAGGUAACGGCUUACCAAGGCAACGAUGCAUAGCCGACCUGAGAGGGUGACCGGCCACACUGGAACUGAGACACGGUCCAGACUCCUACGGGAGGCAGCAGUGGGGAAUCUUCCGCAAUGGGCGAAAGCCUGACGGAGCAACGCCGCGUGAGUGAUGAAGGUCUUCGGAUCGUAAAACUCUGUUAUUAGGGAAGAACAUAUGUGUAAGUAACUGUGCACAUCUUGACGGUACCUAAUCAGAAAGCCACGGCUAACUACGUG
rnacentral:rRNA from 1 species